UCAAACUUUUUAAAAUGUUAUUCCACCAUUGUAAAAUAUGCAAACUAGAAUGACAAAGAUUGUGGACAGCUUGCAAGCAUUUGAUAAUUUAAUAAUGAAAUGUGAUGAUUAAUUAUCAUGGUGUAAAAAGUCAUCAUAUAUUUUAGGACUUAUUUUUUGUCCUUCACAUAGGACAUAACAUUAACUAGAAUAUUAAAAAGGAAGCAUUCUACAGGUUAUAAACAAGCCUAGAAGAAAUGGUGCCUGUAGUACUGUGUUAUUCUAGAUAGGCUAUUUUAUAUUUACAGUGGCCAUAGAAUUUUUGAACCAGCAUUUCUGAUAAGCUAUUACACUUUAUUCCCCCACAUCCUCCUUCUAAUUUUCCUGACAUUUUGCCUUCACCUUGUCGUUGGAUUGUUGGAACACAGUAGUUUUUAUAUACUAAAAUUUCUAUUUCACAAUUCCUCUAGACAAUUGCCUGUAUUUACCAGCUGGUUAUAGCACAAUUGGUUUUGCUAAGUCUUCAAUAUAUGGAAAUGUAAUAAAUUGCCAUAAGAGCAUUAUUAAAUCUCAGAAUGACUAUAUUUCUAUGAUGAUUUUUUACACUUUAAUUAUGUUAAAAAUCCUUGAAUUGAACAAUUUUUCUCUGUGAUAUGCAUGUUUAUGAAACAGAGGGAAACAUUUGCCAGAUGAAUGGACUAAAUUUUAACUUCUCUGAUAUUAUUUGGAUUAAGAGGCUAUAAUCUGAAAGGAGAAAAAGGACUGUGAUUUUAUUUUGAGUCUAUGGAAUUCCUGAAUGGUGUCAACAAAAUUACUGAUAGUUUCAUUUUUUAACAAGGUUUGGAUCAAAAGAGAAUCUGCAAACACAAAUAAGUCUCCAGUUAGAGGAUUGCAAAGAGGAGCAAUGUGUCUACUGGAUUGGAUUAGCACUUAUAAAUUCAUGGGCUCAUACAGAAGCAACAUAACCUCUCUACAAGAUAUCCUUGCUGAUUUCUAGGCCUCAAUCCAUCAGACAAGUCACUUCAAAGGAGAUAUUGCUCUGUUGAGCUGAGACAUCAAGAUAAAGUUGGCUUUCUGAGAUGCAGUCCCCUUUGGGAAGUGUGUAAGGAAUUCUUCAGCAGUUAUUUGUCUAGGCAGUCUUGAAGCAACAAGACACAAGAUGAAGACCAAGACAUGGAAUAAGAAAAAUCAAUUAAAGGAAAAAGGGAGCUGUGGUUCAUGUAGCUUAUGCUAAUUCUUUGGUAUUAUUUCUCAUUCAUUUUAUAUUCUGUGAGAUUUUCCUCCAGAGUGUGAAGUGCAUGUGUGUAGAAAUAAAAUUUCUUUAGUUAAAAGUUCCUCUCUGUCUCAGCACAUUAAGGCAUUUCUCACUAGUAGUAAAAGCUGUCUGGAAAAGAAAGCUCAAAUAGGUAAGUCAACAAUUCCAUCUUUCAUUUACAUGCCAUGAACUGUUUAUACAUAGACUUGUGGAAAUGGAAUCAGAAGUGAAAAGUACCAAUCAUGCUUGCUGUCAUCUAAGGAGUUACAGUUUUACAAAAAUUUAAGCACAAUUGUUGAAUAUUGGAGAAAAUGGCCUGCUGAAUUUUUGUUGUGGUUACUGGUAUACUUUGAACUGUCUCUGCAGUUUUUGCUGUGUAAUAUUUCAGCAGCUUGAAAACAAGUCUGCUGUCUCCUGGGAGGAAAGGACCACACUGUUUGCUCUGGAGGGAAGAAGCAUUCUCACAUCUCCAGCUAGCAGGAGACAGCUGCCACCAUCACUGGCAUGAUACAAGACAUUUAGGAACCCAGCUGAUGAGCUAAUUGGCUGUGAAUAAGAGCAGCACUACCCCCGAAAGUCAGCAACAUGAAAUCUUGAUUCCCUAAAAAUGCAUAAAUCAAGAUAUAGAGCACACCUUAAGAAAGUGCAAGUAGGCACUUCUGUCAAGAAGCUUACUUGUUUUGUGAAAUAAAAAAUUGUCACUUGCUGAUGCUGAGCACAACCCUAAAGAGAUGAUAAAUGGCACAAGAUUCUCUCAAUGUUAGAAACAAUUCCAUGUACUAAAGCUAUGCUUUUCUACUCAGGCAUGCAAGAAUAUACCCAUCAAAGUCAGUGGAGGCUGAUCAUAGAGCAGGGAUCAACUUUUGUAUUCAUCCAUUUGUAAUUUCUGAAAACAAUCUGAAUGUUCUAUUUUAGUCCUCCUUCCUUGACUCCUGUCUGCCUAGAAGUAUCCAAGAAUAAGCAGUGUCAAGAGAUUGUGCCUUUUGAUCCAUGAUUAUUAUAAAAAUAUUUUUAAAGAGUUAAAUAAUUGAUAAUAAUAAACCUCUAAAUAUUAUUCUCAUUAUUGUUAAUUAGGCAAAAUACUAUAAUUCAGCAUUUAAAUUACAAGAAAAAAGAUCAAAACAAAUAAAGGAUAUGAGUGUGAGAUUUAGUUGUAACUAUUUUAUAACUGUUUUUGGGAUGAAGACACCUGUAAAUUAAGAGGAGCCUAUUCUUAAAAUAAAGUCACAGUCCAAAUUCUCUUCCUUUCUAUGCCAGCUAGUUUCCAAUCUGCUUAUUCUUAAGAACAUUGUGCAAGAUAUAAGGGUAAAAGAAAAUACUUAAAUGCUUUUUUUUUCUGUUAUGUUAAUUUAACUAAACAUAAAGAUAUUUUUUUUCUAUAGAAAGGUAAAUUAUGUAUAAGCAUACUUAAAUUGUACUUACUUAUAUUUUAAAAUGUAAUAAGUUUUGACAGCCAUGGUUUUGAUAUAAAUGGGCACAGUCAAUAUCAAUGUCAGAAAGGCUAAUGUGGCAAAGCUGUUUCUUUUUUUUCCUCUUGUCACUUAUGAUCUAUUCAAUGUACAACAAAUAUUCUAAUUCUCUCAGUGAAAAAAAAAAUCAAAUAUGUGUCUAGUUUUUCUACAAAGACUGCUGUAAGGUUAUUUUUACUUCACUGGGUGUAAGUGGAAAGAAGUAGCACAGGUUCUGCAGGCUCCUAAGGGUACACUUGGAGAUCUGCUGCAUCUGUUGCCUGGAGCACCUUUGUCUCUCAGUCUUUUUUGGGUUUUUGUUUAUCAGCUGAAUGACAUGGAUUAAGGUCCAGAUUAUAAAAGUUAUUCAGAUAGCCAUUUUAUUGUGAAAUCCUUCUUCCAAGUCAGAACUCCUCCAGAUCUCUUUGGCUCAGAGGAGGCAGCAAAAUUGCCCUGGAAGCUGAGGGCACCUUAUUUGAGCAGUAGCUUGUAGAGAUAAAUGGAGAUUAUCAGGUGUAGCACAGUCGAUUCCUUUGAAAACUUAGAGGAAUGUUCUUGCUGCUCCUAGAAAUCCAUGACAAGAAAUGUAUGUUUCUGUCUCCAUGUUUUUUUAAUA